CCUACGGUGUGCAGCAGUGGGGAAUAUUGGACAAUGGGCGAAAGCCUGAUCCAGCCAUGCCGCGUGUGUGAAGAAGGCCUUCGGGUUGUAAAGCACUUUCAGUGGGGAAGAAAGCCUUGGGGCUAAUACCCUCGAGGAAGGACAUCACCCACAGAAGAAGCACCGGCUAACUCCGUGCCAGCAGCCGCGGUAAUACGGAGGGUGCGAGCGUUAAUCGGAAUUACUGGGCGUAAAGCGCGCGUAGGCGGUCUGAUAAGCCGGUUGUGAAAGCCCCGGGCUCAACCUGGGAACGGCAUCCGGAACUGUCAGGCUAGAGUGCAGGAGAGGAAGGUAGAAUUCCCGGUGUAGCGGUGAAAUGCGUAGAGAUCGGGAGGAAUACCAGUGGCGAAGGCGGCCUUCUGGACUGACACUGACGCUGAGGUGCGAAAGCGUGGGUAGCAAACAGGAUUAGAUAUCCUGGUAGUC
rnacentral:rRNA from 1 species